rnacentral:lncRNA from 1 species
GACAGGUGGAGAGGAUGGGGGGAGGACCAGUAGGGAGGACAGGUGAGGAGGACAGGUGGGGAGGACGGAGGGGGAGACGGGUGGGGAGGAUGGGGGGAGGACCAGUAGGGAGGACAGGUGAGGAGGACAGGUGGGGAGGACGGAGGGGGAGACGGGUGGAGAGGACAGGUGGGGAGGACACGUGGGGAGGACUGAUGGGGUGGGGGCCCCCAGAAGGCACCAGAAGAAAGCAGUACAGGGCUGCUGGAGAAUAGAGUAGGUUUGGCAACACAGAGGUUGCUGGAGACCUUGGCGAGACUUCUUUUAUGCCAGAUUCGUUUCUACAGGGACUGAGGAAGAGGAGUCUAUAAAGAGAAAUAGCUGUGGGGUGUUGUGGGGUUGGCGGGCCAGCUUGGCUGGGGGUGGCCAGGAAUGAGCCCGCACACAGGGAAGUUGACAGGGCGGAUGAGAGCUGCUCUGAAGCCAUCCUGACCCCAAACUUAGAUUUCCCCCCGGCUGCCUUUUGAUUCUUAUCCCUACCCCUAAUCCCUCUUCAUGCUGCAGCCAGAGGAGGCUGGGGUUCAGGGAAGACCGAGCUGCAGCUCCCCAGCAAAUCCCGAGUCCCUCUCCGGCUCAGGAGGCCUGAGCUCCAGCCAUGCCCUUUCUCAAGCCCCUGUAGGAAGCACUGCCUCAUCCUCAGGCACUGCGUAGGCCUUCUCCACAUGCCCCUGGUAAGCCUCACUCCUCAUGGUCCCAAACUCUUCAGAGGCCUCAGCUGUGUGUCCAGCCUGGCUCAGGGUGGGCACUGAGACACGAAUGCAGAGCCCUAACCUUCGACCUCCCACCCUCCCCUUCCUCUCUGCUCUAGUCAUCCAGCUUCUUCUCGAAUGUCUCCCAUGACGGGGUGCUCAGCAUCACUCAAGCCAGCUGUGUCCCUGCUUUGGGUUUUCCCCUGGUAUGAGUUCAGGGCCAGAGCAGGGAGCCGGGGCCCAUCGUAGUGCAG